AGAAUCAACGCUGGCGGCGUGCCUAACACAUGCAAGUCGAACGAGAAAGUGGAGCAAUCCAUGAGUAAAGUGGCGCACGGGUGAGUAACACGUGACUAACCUACCCUUGAGUGGGGAAUAACCUAGGGAAACCUGGGCUAAUACCGCAUAACACCUACGGGUCAAAGGAGCAAUUCGCUUAAGGAGGGGGUCGCGGCAGAUUAGCUAGUUGGCGGGGUAAUGGCCCACCAAGGCAGCGAUCUGUA
rnacentral:rRNA from 1 species